rnacentral:rRNA from 1 species
UACGGAGGGUGCAAGCGUUAUCCGGAUUCACUGGGUUUAAAGGGUGCGUAGGUGGGCAGGUAAGUCAGUGGUGAAAUCUCUGGGCUUAACCCGGAACUGCCGUUGAUACUAUCUGUCUUGAAUGUAGUGGAGGUGAGCGGAAUAUGUCAUGUAGCGGUGAAAUGCUUAGAUAUGACAUAGAACAUCGAUUGCGAAGGCAGCUCGCUACACUAUGAUUGACACUGAGGCACGAAAGCGUGGGGAUCAAACAGG